GCACAGUUGGUUCCCUCCCAAUCUGGAUGCAGCAGAAGAGAAUAAAGUGGGGAGGAGAGGCUUGGAAGGAGGGAGCAGACACAAUGAAACUGACAACCAUUCCAGAAAAGAAUGUUUUUUAUGAUACAGGAGUCCAUUAGGGAUUCAACAGAGGCAACUAAACUAAUUACAAGAAGCUGAACAGCACCCCUCCCCUAAGGAUGACAUUCAGUAUUGACCUGCUAAGAAGAUAAAUGCCAAACACAUUUAUUGUCACAGGGAUCAGUACUUGUCCUGUACUAAAACAAUCAAGAAUCUGCUGGCACUCUUGGCCUUGCGUCACAUGCUACCUGCA
rnacentral:lncRNA from 1 species